GACGAACGCUGGCGGCGUGCUUAACACAUGCAAGUCGAACGGAAAGGCCCUGCUUUUGUGGGGUGCUCGAGUGGCGAACGGGUGAGUAACACGUGAGUAACCUGCCCUUGACUUUGGGAUAACUUCAGGAAGCUGGGGCUAAUACCGGAUAGGAGCUCCUGCUGCAUGGUGGGGGUUGGAAAGUUUCGGCGGUUGGGGAUGGACUCGCGGCUUAUCAGUUUGUUGGUGGGGUAGUGGCUUACCAAGGCUUUGACGGGUAGCCGGCCUGAGAGGGUGACCGGCCACAUUGGGACUGAGAUACGGCCCAGACUCCUACGGGAGGCAGCAGUGGGGAAUAUUGCACAAUGGGCGGAAGCCUGAUGCAGCAACGCCGCGUGCGGGAUGACGGCCUUCGGGUUGUAAACCGCUUUCGCCUGUGACGAAGCGUGAGUGACGGUAAUGGGUAAAGAAGCACCGGCUAACUACGUG
rnacentral:rRNA from 1 species